rnacentral:rRNA from 1 species
CUCCCGGUUGAUCCUGCCGGACCCGACUGCUAUCAGAGUGGGACUAAGCCAUGCGAGUCAACGUAGCAAUACGUGGCAUACGGCUCAGUAACACGUAGUCAACAUGCCCAGGGGACGAGGAUAACCUCGGGAAACUGAGGAUAAACCUCGAUAGGCCAUGAUUUCUGGAAUGAUUCUUGGCUCAAACCUAUAUGGCCCCUGGAUUGGACUGCGGCCGAUCAGGCUGUUGGUGAGGUAAUGGCCCACCAAACCUAUUACCGGUACGGGCUCUGAGAGGAGGAGCCCGGAGAUGGGCACUGAGACAAGGGCCCAGGCCCUAUGGGGCGCAGCAGGCGCGAAACCUCUGCAAUAGGCGAAAGCCUGACAGGGUUACUCUGAGUGACUUUCGCUAAGAAAGUCUUUUGGCACCUCUAAAAAGGGUGCAGAAUAAGGGGUGGGCAAGUCUGGUGUCAGCCGCCGCGGUAAUACCAGCACCCCGAGUGGUCGGGACGAUUAUUGGGCCUAAAGCAUCCGUAGCCGGUUCUGCAAGUCCCCCGUUAAAUCCAGCUGCUCAACAGAUGGGCCGCGGAGGAUACUACAGAGCUAGGAGGCAGGAGAGGCAAGCGGUACUCAGUGGGUAGGGGUAAAAUCCGUUGAUCCAUUGAAGACCACCAGUGGCGAAGGCGGCUUGCCAGAAUGCGCUCGACGGUGAGGGAUGAAAGCUGGGGGAGCAAACCGGAUUAGAUACCCGGGUAGUCCCAGCCGUAAACGAUGCAGACUCGGCGAUGGGUUGGCUUCGCGCUAACCCAGUGCCGCAGGGAAGCCGUUAAGUCUGCCGCCUGGGUAGUACGGUCGCAAGACUGAAACUUAAAGGAAUGGGCGGGGGAGCA